ACCGGAAUAUCUCAGUUGGGAGAGUGUUAGACUGAAGAUCUAAAGGUCUCUGGUUCGAUCCCGGGUUGCGGUA